CACAUUCUGCUUUGGGGUUGGGGCUGGAGGCUGCCCUUCAGGACUGGGCGGCUAUAGCACCAGAAGGUCCCUCCAGGCUGUCAGAUGUGAUGACCAAGAUACAAUCUGUGGUUGCAAAGUCCUGGCUCAGAGGCUGGGGGAGGCUUGGCUGUGUUGGGAAGAAACACUCCAGCCAUGCCCAGGUAUUGCCACUUUGCUAAGCUUGUGCUGUCGAUUGUUGUGGACUGGAAACGGGGUGGUGAGGCCUGCCAGAGCCUCCCCAGUUUGCUUUUCUAGCAGAAGAAGGAAAAACUCAGCCUCACUCUUGCUGUGAUUAUUUUGCCAACUCUUUCUGCUGUAGUAGCACAUCUUGGUGGCCGGACUCUCCUCUUUUAGGAGCCGCUCACAGAGUAAAUGGUAGCCCUUGUCCCAAAGACAUGCCAUUUUUUACGGUUGGCUGUAGCAGGUGGCAUAAGCUGGCAGACAGACCUAACCACAGAUCUAGUUGCUACCUCAACAAAAGAGAGUCCUGGGAAGGGAUUUGAAGGAGGGCUGGAAGGUGUCCCUGUGGAAGUUCAUAGCAAACAUGAGAAAAACUCCAAUGACAACAUCCAAAAAAAGCUGCUGGCAUAGCCGAAGUGCAGAAUGACAAGACCCAGGCUGUACAUCAAUAGGAAAAUUUUGGCUGCUGAGAUGUGAAAUGGGACCUUGAGUGCUGGCUGUACUUGCCUGCUCAGGCCCCAGGACGUGGCUGCGCUCCCCAUCACCCCGUGAGAAGCAGAUGCCCAGCUGGGAGCUGGUCCUUUGGUAAUGGCCUGCGAAUUUCCAUCGGCUCCGUUAAUUGCUGCCUGGCUGCUAGUUACAACUCCAAGUCAAUUGCUGGGAGUGUUGGGCCCUGCAAAACAACCCCUUGAAAUCAGUUGUUAGUCCAAUUAACAACCAGUUUGGCUUCAAUUCAGGCUGUUAACCAUCAAACAGCUAACUGCUGGUAAUGAUUGAUUUCUCAGCAGUUGGGGCUGCAGUGGAGGAGCCAACCUGUUUCACAAAAUGCCAUUAAAGCCAAGACUUUGUGAACGCAUCUGGCUCAGACAAACAUUCGAGCUGUCCCACACCAGUAGAGCAGGCAAGGUGAUGACCAGGAUUUCUAUCCAUUUUGAUUAAAGCAUGGGUUGUUGCGGUGUGUCAGGAUGAACUGGCAGCCAGCAGGCCAGUGUUGCCACCACACCGUGCUCCAGGUAGGCAGCCACCACUGUUUGUAAGGCAACCACUUGUACUCAUGGAGCAUCACAGCAUUCAAAGCCCCCAUGGAUGGGAACUGCUCGGUGUCCAGCUCCCUUCCAUAGUUACUGUUCCAGCCAGCAAAUCUGCAAAGAUUAGUUUGGAUGUUCAGAUGUUUCCACAAAUCACCUGGGUCAUUUCCAUCUGCACUACCAGCUGGGAGCUGGUACUGGGAGAGAGCAAUUCCCAUCAGCAUAUGCAAGCCUGGGGAUGCCUCGAGCAGCCUGGGACACUGGCCUGUGUCUGCUGGUAGGCAACACAGACUCAUCUGCAGAUGUGAGUAUCUCUAUGAAAUCUGUAAAAUACCCUUUGAGUCCCAGCGUUCAGGCAGGGUUUUGUUUAAGAUUACUGGUCAGGUCUUCAUCCGUUUCCUUCCGCUGUUUCAGGCCCUGGUUCUCCACUGUGCACUGGCAGGUUGGUUCGAACACAUUGCUGGUGCUACAUCAAGGGCUUUUUCCCCCGGGAUAUUUUCCCUCUGAUCAAAGUGGCUGAUUCAAGCUGUAGCAUGUACGGGGAGGAGGGAGACAGCCACCUGUUAGGGAAAGACUUUGAAAACGCGGAGGACGCGCUGCAGAGGUUGACCUUGUGAAAUGUAAACUCCAACGGCGCCGGGCAGCAGAGCGGUGCAGGGUGAGGAGUUAGCACCUCGGCGCACAACACCAUGGUCCUCCUGCUUUUGAGGGCACUCGGGGACCUGUGGUCCUGCCAGGGCCUUGGCAGCGCGGCCUGAGCUCUGUUUCUGAAGCUGGGUCCCGGCAGCAGGACACGGGCACCUGAGACCCAUGUAGAUGUUUCAAAGAUCUUCCCACAAGGUUCCUCCAAGUGCAGAACUGGUUCCUCCCGGUGCCAUGCUUUUGCCAUCCUUGCACAGGAGGUACGGUUGUCCCAGAUUCCCACCAGUACAUACCCCAGAAUGGUGCACGUUUUCUGUAAUUAGCUGUAUUAGAUAUUCCUUGUGCAAACAGGAAAAAGUUGCUUAUUUCAUCAAAUAACUACUAAAAGUAGCUCUGCUCUCUCCCAUGUUGGGAUUACCUUGCCGCCCUUAUUGAGGAGGCUGGGGAGGGCGGGUUGCAUCUGGAACUCCCCCUGUGCUAGGCAGUGCAUGUGCAGUGAGCUUCUGCAUCCCGGGGGUCGGUCAGGGUUUCUCCCUCCGGUCCGUACAAGGAGAAACAGAUUCUCACAAAGGGAAAAAUGAGAAGUUUGGGGUAAGCAGGAGACCUGACAACCCAGUUUUCCCACUCCUCAGGUCUGUGAGCAAAUGUUUUAUUUGCAGCGUGUGUAUUUAACUGGGUUGAAUACAGCCAUCCUGGUCUGUGCAUCUUCUGAGUGUCUCAUUCCCCCUCAGCUGUUGCUAAAUGCAUCCUUCCAGGAGGUGGUGACGGGUGCCUCUCACCUGCUGGAGCCGGGUGAGCUCUGGCUGCUCAGACUUUUUCUGUGUAACAGGGAAGGUCAGUUAUAAACAGAAACGGUUGGUUUUGUUGGGGGCUUUUUUUAGACAUCAAAAAUGCUCCAUCAUCAUCAGGCUGGCUUAGCUUUCAGCGGCCAACGCAAACGGAGCCAAACCCUCAGCGGAGAAUUCAGCAAGAGAAGCAGCAAAGACUUUCCAGGGCUAUUUCGCCAAAGUCUCGCAUCCUCAUUCCUCCUUAUAUUUUGUGCCAGAGCAGCCGAUGCUGUUCUGGGCUCUGCGCAGACACAGGGUGAGCCCUGAGGAACUUCCAGAUGGAGCUGAAAGCAAGUGGCAUGGCCCCAUUUUAGAGGAGUGGGAGGAAUUAGUGCACAGAAAGAUUAAGAUUUGAAAGAAAUCCUGGCAGAGCUGCGAAUCAGCUGAAUCAAUCUGCAAGAGGCCAAGAAACGUUAUGGAAGUGGUCCAAUGGGGGAAGCAAUGUAUAUAUGCAAUAAUCUGAGCUAUAAAUGAAGUACAAAACCACAAAACUGAUCUUUUUCUAAACCUCGUGUCCGAUUCCCCAGCUUUGACUGAAGGUUGGACUCUGUCCCGUAUCCUCACUGGAAGGAACCUGCUUUUGUACGUGAGCAGAUUUCAAGGUCAUGGGGAUUACUCUGAAUGUCCGUCCCAGUCUUCUGCAAUACUCGGUUGAGAGGAUCCUGCUCAGUGCCUUCUGAGCGAAAGCCGUAGUCCUUAUUUAAGGAAAAGGAAAGAAGGAUAUCCUGCAGGGACUCCAUAUUUCAGUAUUAUUUGGUAUUUCUGGUUGAAAAUUGCCUAACUUCAACUCAUGGCACUUGAUCUUGUACUCUCUUCUUCCAGCUUACAGUGCCAUCCAACCUGACCAAGCUUCUGCAGGCACUGCAAGUGGGUUUUCCAGGUCUCUGCAAGCUCUUGUAGGGAUUUUUUAAAGCUGAUUUCCAUCUGUCAACAUCUCUUGUGAAGUGUAGCCAAGUGUUUUGGCUGCAGCAUCUGGCGAUGGAGUCUGGCGUUGGCUUGCUUGUGUCCAGGAUCUUGGGAGGAGAAAUGAUACAGUGACCACCCACUAGAGUGAUGUCUCUCUGCUCAGGGCUGGUGUUUUCCAAGAGGUUCUUGCAGGGACUUGCAGAGCAACUGAAGCCAACUGUGGAGCUGUAACCCUCAUUCAGUCGGGACCCCUGUAACUUCAGUCUGUUUUGAAGAAGAGAGGAAUGGAGGUGCAGCUAAGGCAUGGUUACAGUCUCCUGUCCCUUGUUUCCUGCUGCAAAGGCUACAGCACGUCUCUAAAGCAAAGGUAGCAUUUAUUUUACAAUGAAUCCUGAAAUCCCAAGUCUCAUGCUUGCCCAGGAGGGCUCCAUCUCUGGUCGUUCAAAUACUUAGUUGGUGAAGUCUGAGCUAUUUUUGCUCUCAGCUGUGAUGGGUAAAGCCACAGUCGUUCCUCUGACUUCACUAGAAUUGCUCUGGAUGAGCUCGGAUGUGAGCAGAGGUUGGUUUGAACUAAUUAUCCUCAAUGCCCAUACCUGCAAUUCCCCUACACUAAGCCAGCACAGCAACAGCAGUGAGUGCGGAGGUUUUCAUAUACCUGAAGGUUUUGGCAGAAUCUGCAUUUCAAGAGCUGGUUGCUGUCCCCAGAUGCUGUCCCACAGCACUUGCUGAGGUGUGACCAAAAGAUGGAGGGGACAUGACUGGGCAAGGAGAGGAAAGGUGCUGCGGAAACUGCAAAUUCCCAAGGCUGUGGCUUGUGGCAGUACGUGCAGCACCUGCCGCACUGACCCAAAUCCCACGACUAUCACAACCUGGUUAAUUAUAAGAAAAGGUCUUUCCUGCUAAUUGUUGCUGGCUGGUAAAGGGGCAUCCCCAGCCCCUAAAGGACUGGGGGGACCGAGAGGGGAGACGGUGGUUGCUGACACGUGCUGAGCCCUCACAGCCUCUGUUGCAAGGCCUGGACAAGUGUCUGCACUUCACUCCCUCUCAGAGCGAUCAUUGCAAGGAGCUGAAGGUUUCACCACCUUCCCCUGCAGAGCCGUGGGUUCGCCGUGCACUUGACAUCGGUGCAGGGGGACGACUUGAGCUUGAUGACUGUCUCCACCACAGCAGCUGCCUGUCCUCCACCAACGCUCCCCUCCAACCGCCUCACAAGAAGGAGAUGUGCCGUUCCUGGCACAAGGCUGAACACCAGGGUGGCACAGUGUGACGUGGAGGUGGCCUCCCCAUGGGCCAUGCUGCCAGCUGGUGCAGUGGGAUGUGUCAGCCCCCAGGCCACUAUGGUCCCAGGCAUUCCAGUCACCAGCCAGGGCUCCCCAAAUCAAGUCUGGGGCUCCCUGGGGGGAGCUUGCCUUAAGCAUCAGCAAGGAUGAGAAACUUCCACAUAGGGAAGAGAAAAUCACAGCUGAGUUUUUUGCGCUGAUGGCGAGGCUCCGUGAGCUGGGAUUUCGGACAAACGCUCAACACUGUGACAUGGGAUCACCUUACACAUGGUGAGGAUGGGCAUUUCUUUUGUAUUUGCUACCUAUGGUGAGGAAGGCUUUCUUGGUGAUGUGAGCAAAGGGACAAACAGCGGAGGGGACAAAGCAGGCAGCAGCGUGGGUAAGUCCCAGCUGGAAAGCCAGAAGA